rnacentral:rRNA from 1 species
GCCUGCCCGGUGAUUCACUUUUAACGGCCGCGGUAUCCUAACCGUGCAAAGGUAGCGCAAUCAUUUGUUCUUUAAAUGAGGACUAGUAUGAAUGGCGCCAUGAAAAUCGAUUUGUCUCUCGUAGUAGUUCUAUGAACCUGAUCUCCCAGUACAAAAGCUGGAAUAUAAUCAUAAGACGAGAAGACCCUGUGGAGCUUUAAACUUCUACUCAACUUCAUGAUUUAGCAGUUUUCGGUUGGGGCGACCCUGGAGACAAACAAAACCUCCAGAAAACUACACACUAGGCCGACAGGCCAAUCCUGCAAUGACCCAAUAAAAUUGACUAUUGAACCAAGUUACCCCAGGGAUAACAGCGCAAUCUUCUUCAAGAGUCCAUAUCGACAAGAGGGUUUACGACCUCGAUGUUGGAUCAGGAUGUCCAAAUAGUGCAGACGCUAUUAAUUGGUUCGUUUGUUCAACGAUUAAAAUCCUACGUGAUCUGAGUUCAGACCGG